CUUGGGUACAAAUCCUGUAAAAAACACGAUUCACAUUGAAAGAGCUAAAAGAUGACAGAUUAAAAAACAAGCUAAAAGGGCAUGCUUGCGAUUACGUUUUUAUGUCAUAUUGGCUUUUGCAUGGUAUUGGGUCGGUUUAGGUGUAGUGUAGAUGGUAACAUCACGGAACAUUAGAAUUAUAGCACCACUCAAUGGACAUUUCAAGUCAGAAGUCGUGGCCUAAUGGUUAGAGAGUUUGACUUCUAAACCUAAGGUUGUGGGUUCGAGUCUCGAGCCAGCAAUACCACGACAGAGGUGCCCUUGAGCAAGGUACCGAACCCCCAACUGCUCCACGGGCGCCGCAGCAUAAAUGGCUGCCAACUGCUCCGGGAUGCAUCCCUAGUAUUGUGUGAAAGAAAAUGAAACAGUAAGUCCAAGAUGAUGGACAUGGUCCUGCCAUUUUGUUCCGUUUUCAACUCCAGCACUUCGGGGAAUGAAUGAGCAGUGGAUUUACUUAUGGAAAUCUACCAAUUACCAGAGACGGAUGUUUUGUCGGGACAUCUGAAUGUGAUGCAUUCUGAGAGGCAUGCCAAGGAUCCAUCAGUAAGCAAGUGAUGUAAUGCUAAAGUUCUCCAAAAUUGUUCCAAUUAAGAAAGAAACUCAUCUUGGGUGGCCUGAGGGGUUUUCAUACGGAAAUGAAGAAUGACAACAUUAAGUUCAAAUGAAAAAAGGG
ensembl:lncRNA